rnacentral:lncRNA from 1 species
GAAACUUUGCGUACAAUUGGUUCUCUUUAAAUGUCUGCAAUAUAAUUCUCAGAUGUUCCACACAUAGCCUCAUACUAUCGUCCUUCUUCUUCACUAACAAAACUAGCGCACCCCAUGACGAAACACUCGGACGAACAAACUUCUUUUCAAGUAGAUCUUCUAGUUGCUUCCUCAAUUAGACGAAACACUCGGACGAACAAACUUCUUUUCAAGUAGAUCUUCUAGUUGCU